UACAUGGGGUGCAAACGUUGUCCGGAUUCAUUGGGUUUAAAGGGUGCGCAGGCGGGACAUUAAGUCAGGGGUGAAAGACGGUUGCUCAACAAUCGCAGUGCCUUUGAUACUGGUGUUCUUGGGUGACCUUGAGGUAGGCGGAAUGGGUGGUGUAGCGGUGAAAUGCAUAGAUACCACCCAGAACUCCGAUUGCGAAGGCAGCCUACUGGAGGUUUACCGACGCUCAGGCACGAAAGCGUGGGGAGCAAACAGG
rnacentral:rRNA from 1 species